CUAACUGAUCCCUUCGGGGUGACGUUAGUGGAUCUAGCGGCGGACGGGUGAGUAACACGUGGGCAACCUGCCUGUAAGACUGGGAUAACUCGCGGAAACGCGAGCUAAUACCGGAUGAUACUUUUCAUCACAUGGUGAGAAGAUGAAAGACGGCGCAAGCUGUCACUUACAGAUGGGCCCGCGGCGCAUUAGCUAGUUGGUGAGGUAACGGCUCACCAAGGCGACGAUGCGUAGCCGACCUGAGAGGGUGAUCGGCCACACUGGGACUGAGACACGGCCCAGACUCCUACGGGAGGCAGCAGUAGGGAAUCUUCCGCAAUGGACGAAAGUCUGACGGAGCAACGCCGCGUGAGCGAUGAAGGUCUUCGGAUCGUAAAGCUCUGUUGUUAGGGAAGAACAAGUACAAGAGUAACUGCUUGUACCUUGACGGUACCUAACCAGAAAGCCACGGCUAACUACGUGCCAGCAGCCGCGGUAAUACGUAGGUGGCAAGCGUUGUCCGGAAUUAUUGGGCGUAAAGCGCGCGCAGGCGGUCCUUUAAGUCUGAUGUGAAAGCCCACGGCUUAACCGUGGAGGGUCAUUGGAAACUGGGGGACUUGAGUACAGAAGAGGAGAGUGGAAUUCCACGUGUAGCGGUGAAAUGCGUAGAGAUGUGGAGGAACACCAGUGGCGAAGGCGACUCUCUGGUCUGUAACUGACGCUGAGGCGCGAAAGCGUGGGUAGCGAACAGGAUUAGAUACCCUGGUAGUCCACGCCGUAAACGAUGAGUGCUAGGUGU
rnacentral:rRNA from 1 species